UACGUAGGGGGCGAGCGUUGUCCGGAUUUAUUGGGCGUAAAGAGCGUGUAGGCGGCCAGGUAGGUCUGCUGUGAAAACUCGAGGCUCAACCUCGAGACGUCGGCGGAAACCAUCUGGCUAGAGUCCGGAAGAGGAGAGUGGAAUUCCUGGUGUAGCGGUGAAAUGCGCAGAUAUCAGGAGGAACACCGGUGGCGAAGGCGGGUCUCUGGGGCAGUAACUGACGCUGAGGAGCGAAAAGCGUGGGGGAGCGAACAGG
rnacentral:rRNA from 1 species